rnacentral:lncRNA from 1 species
GGAUCUAGAAAUUAUUUAAGGUGAGGCAAAUUUAUCGAUAAGUAACACAAUAAAGGAAAAAUAGUAGGGGCAAAUUUAUCUUUUAAUAUGGGGAAAAUAAUUAUUAGUCUAAGGAAAUAACAUUAAAUUAUUUUUUAUUGGGGGGAAAAUGCCCCCAUGCUACCCUACGUGCCUCCGCCACUGCACAUGCCACUAUGCUCUAAUGUAUAGAUGUAAAUUUGGAACCUGAACCGAAGGCUUGGCCUGUAAAGGACUGCUGCAGGGUGGAUUUUGUUUGGCAUUUCGUAGACCCAAAAAGACCGGGCCUCGCGAGUAAGUGUCAUGCGGUAUUGGGUUUUCGGCGGGAUGAGCCUCACUUGGACCCACAGGAUAGUAAAGACCCGCUUCACCUGAAGAUUCUUUUACAUUUUCACCUGAAAAAACGAGAGAAAGAGAGAGAGCGACGAUGUUGAUUUGGCUUCGAUCUUCACCAAUAACCUAUGGAGCUCCAGUGACGGUGGUUCGAUGUUCGACGAAGCUUCCGGUCUCUCAUGUGUAUUUGAUCUGAGUCUUCUUUCGGUCAUCCCUUCGUAUUCGAUCUGCAGAAGAGCAGCUUCAACGACAACUCAGAUGAACUUUAUCGACUGUUUCUUAACCAACAACCUCCAAUGAAGAUUCCACUUCAGAUGCCGAUCUCUAAGAUCUUCUUCUUCUUCUUCUUCUUUUCUUGUAUAUGUAAGUGUGUAUAUUAACAUUAAUUGUUUAGAUCUUCUUAUGCCGUUCUCCAAGGUCAAGCCAUCUUGGACUUGAAGUCCUGUUUAUGGAUCUUAUAUCUUUUUACCAGAUGGGUGUAAUUCAUAUGACAAUGAGUGACUAAAAAGAGCUUGGCUUGCUUGUAAUUAUGAUUGCUUUGUAUUGCUAUAGAAAUCUUGAUGCCUGGUUGACUUUUAUGUUCUGCAGAUUUAUCUUUGUUCUCGGAUUGCAAUACUUCAACUUGAAUUGUUCUAGUCACUUGCAUUACACUUUUUGACUAUUGUUUGUGGUGAUUGGUGAGUUUGAGAUACACUUU